AUUUUAUUUGUCGGAUUUUUGACAGACGUCUAAAUUAUACAUUGAGUUUUCCACAUGACCAAACACCACAUCUCUUCCUUUGAUUAUCAUUUUCAAAAGGGAUUAUAAAAAAAGAACCUUUUGAUGGAUCAGACUGAACCCUGAAACCACAUGGAGUGCAGAGCUAAAAAUAAAAGGAAGUAAGAACUGGUCCCCGAGAAGGAAAGGAAAGGGAAAUCAAAGCAAACUCUGACGGGAAUGGAGAGACGAGUCCUGGUGAGGGUGACAUGGUGUCACCCUCCAGGCCAGGCCGGAUAAGGAGCGGCCAACAGUGAGGGUGGGGCGCAGAGUGGCACAAAAAUAGCCACUACUUUAGUCCAGAGGGGAAUAAAGAAAUUUGUCAAAAGCAAGGAGAGAGAAGUGGAGACGGAGGGAGGGAGGAAGGAAGGGGGCAGGACCAUGUCCUCCCAGCAGCCGUGGGAGCUGCGGACUCCUUUAACCCUGGCACAUUUCUAACCGCCGGCAUAAUCGCUGACUUUCAGCUGUGCACCGACAUGUUCCCCAGCUCAGCCCACAUCAAUGACACCCUUGUUUCCAUAGUAACCAAGGGAGAGUGAAGGGGAAAGGGUGUGUUGCACUGGGUGCAGGGAAUCCAGCCAAAAGCAGCCACACGGGGCUUCUCUCAUCUACCCCAGAGCCCC
rnacentral:lncRNA from 10 species